ACCGCAUGAGACCACACUGGGACAUCCCAGAGGGGUCAAAGGAGCAAUCCGGUGAAGGGUGGGCUCGCGUCCGAUUAGAUAGUUGGUGAGGUAACGGCCCACCAAGUCGACGAUCGGUAGCCGACCUGAGAGGGUGAUCGGCCACAUUGGGACUGAGACACGGCCCAAACUCCUACGGGAGGCAGCAGUGGGGAAUAUUGGGCAAUGGGGGAAACCCUGACCCAGCAACGCCGCGUGAGGGAAGAAGGUUUUCGGAUCGUAAACCUCUGUCCUUGGUGAAGAGGAAGAGACGGUAGCCAAGGAGGAAGCCCCGGCUAACUACGUGCCAGCAGCCGCGGUAAUACGUAGGGGGCGAGCGUUGUCCGGAAUGAUUGGGCGUAAAGGGCGCGUAGGCGGCCCGGUAAGUCUGAAGUGAAAGUCCUGCUUUCAAGGUGGGAAUUGCUUUGGAUACUGUCGGGCUUGAGUGCAGGAGAGGUAAGUGGAAUUCCCAGUGUAGCGGUGAAAUGCGUAGAGAUUGGGAGGAACACCAGUGGCGAAGGCGACUUACUGGACUGUAACUGACGCUGAGGCGCGAAAGUGU
rnacentral:rRNA from 1 species